CAGCCGCCGCGGGAAAACGAAGGGUGCAAGCGUUACUCGGAAUUACUGGGCGUAAAGCGUGCGUAGGUGGUUUGUUAAGUUGGAUGUGAAAUCCCCGGGCUCAACCUGGGAACUGCAUCCAAAACUGGCAAGCUAGAGUAUGGUAGAGGGUGGUGGAAUUUCCUGUGUAGCGGUGAAAUGCGUAGAUAUAGGAAGGAACACCAGUGGCGAAGGCGACCACCUGGACUGAUACUGACACUGAGGUGCGAAAGCGUGGGGAGCAAACAGGAUUAGAUACCCCUGUAGUCCCUGUCUCUUAUAC
rnacentral:rRNA from 1 species